rnacentral:rRNA from 1 species
GAUGAACGCUAGCGGCAGGCCUAACACAUGCAAGUCGAGGGGUAGCAGGAUUAAGCUUGCUUAAUUGCUGACGACCGGCGCACGGGUGCGUAACGCGUAUGCAACCUACCUUAUACUGGGGUAUAGCCCGGAGAAAUUCGGAUUAAUCCCCCAUAGUACUAAUGAAUCGCAUGGUUUAUUAGUUAAAGCAUUGCGGUAUAAGAUGGGCAUGCGUCCUAUUAGCUGGAUGGUGAGGUAACGGCUCACCAUGGCUAAGAUAGGUAGGGGGCCUGAGAGGGUGGUACCCCACACUGGUACUGAGACACGGACCAGACUCCUACGGGAGGCAGCAGUGAGGAAUAUUGGUCAAUGGGCGCAAGCCUGAACCAGCCAUGCCGCGUGCAGGAAGAAUGCCCUAUGGGUUGUAAACUGCUUUUACUUGGGAAUAAACCUCUUUACGUGUAGAGAGCUGAAGGUACCAAAUGAAUAAGCACCGGCUAACUCCGUGCCAGCCGCCGCCGUAA